CUGUCGGUGUUCUUGAGUCACAGUCCAACCACGAACGAAAGGGAAAGCACUGCGAGAGCCGCUCAAAGUUUAAGAUAGACUAGUAUGAGCGCACCGUCAACGUGGAACAAUCACGCUUAAUUUUUUGGCUAUUGUGUUUUUUCAACACUACUAUCUGAAUUUUGACAAUUCUCAUACUUGGAUAUGAAUCGAGAGACGGGAAGGAGGGCGAUGUUCUGCGAUCCGCAGCGAUUCAGCAGAUGAUCCCAUGGCCUCAGCAAAAAAGGCGAAAUUACGGAACUCAAUUUUUUUUCACCAAAGAUGCUCUACCCAAUUCUCGGCCUAUCACCCGUCUGGUGGCUCAUUUUAUACGCGAGUUUGCUCCUCAUGCUGUCCCCUUUCGUUCUCGUUAUUGCCAUUUUCCUCCCCAAUUUCCCUCUUUUACUUUUACGACGCAUGUGUUACAUACCGAUAGAAUCUAUAUAACGUAUUAAUGUAUUCUUGAUGAAAGUAUCAGAUCACUGGGUGUGAAAUGCAGACUACGUGUCUGUGUGGGUCAAGGUCGCAAAUGUGUUAAACUGGUGAAUGAUAUUGGAUAACAUUGUUGCAGAGACAUUUCUUCCUGCUUUUACCACGAUAAAUCGAACUUUGGAUCUGAACUGGAUUAAAUACAAAUCAAGAAUUGUAUCAAUAAUUAUUUCACGAUAGUGAAUACUAAGGAUACGAAUUUAUGUACUCUGUCAUUCUCACAAUUGGAAUAAAUGUAUUGUAUUGUUUU